rnacentral:rRNA from 1 species
UACGUAGGGUGCGAGCGUUAAUCGGAAUUACUGGGCGUAAAGCGUGCGCAGGCGGUUAUUUAAGUCAGGGGUGAAAGCCCUGGGCUUAACCUAGGAAUUGCGCUUGAGACUGGAUAGCUUGGAGUGCGGCAGAGGGAGGUGGAAUUCCACGUGUAGCAGUGAAAUGCGUAGAGAUGCGGAGGAACACCGAUGGCGAAGGCAGCCCCCUGGGCUAACACUGACGCUCAGGCACGAAAGCGUGGGGAGCAAACAGG